rnacentral:rRNA from 1 species
UGGGGAAUAUUGCACAAUGGAGGGAACUCUGAUGCAGCGACGCCGCGUGAACGAAGAAGGCUUUCGAGUCGUAAAGUUCUUUUAUAUGGGAAGAUAAUGACGGUACCAUAAGAAGAAGCCCCGGCUAACUACGUGCCAGCAGCCGCGGUAAUACGUAGGGGGCUAGCGUUGUCCGGAAUCACUGGGCGUAAAGGGUUCGCAAGCGGAAAUGCAAGUCAGGUGUAAAAGGCAGUAGCUUAACUACUGUAAGCAUUUGAAACUGCAUAUCUUGAGAAGAGUAGAGGUGAGUGGAAUUUUUAGUGUAGCGGUGAAAUGAGUAGAUAUUAAAAAGAAUACCGGUGGCGAAGGCGACUUACUGGGCUCAUUCUGACGCUGAGGAACGAAAGCGUAGGUAGCAAACAGG